rnacentral:rRNA from 2 species
GCUGGCGGCGUGCCUAAUACAUGCAAGUCGAGCGAACAGAUGAGAAGCUUGCUUCUCUGAUGUUAGCGGCGGACGGGUGAGUAACACGUGGGUAACCUACCUAUAAGACUGGGAUAACUCCGGGAAACCGGGGCUAAUACCGGAUAAUAUUUUGAACCGCAUGGUUCAAUAGUGAAAGACGGUUUCGGCUGUCACUUAUAGAUGGACCCGCGCCGUAUUAGCUAGUUGGUAAGGUAACGGCUUACCAAGGCGACGAUACGUAGCCGACCUGAGAGGGUGAUCGGCCACACUGGAACUGAGACACGGUCCAGACUCCUACGGGAGGCAGCAGUAGGGAAUCUUCCGCAAUGGGCGAAAGCCUGACGGAGCAACNNCGCGUGAGUGAUGAAGGUCUUCGGAUCGUAAAACUCUGUUGUUAGGGAAGAACAAAUUUGUUAGUAA